rnacentral:rRNA from 1 species
UUUAGUACCACCCUAAAUGUGCCCAAUCUUGUCUGAUCUCAGGAACUAAGCAGGGUUGGGCCUGGUUAGUAGUUGCAUGAGAGACCUCUUCAUAUGUUUUUGCUUCAUCUUAAU